UACGUAGGGGGCAAGCGUUAUCCGGAAUUACUGGGUGUAAAGGGAGCGUAGACGGUAAUGUAAGUCUGGAGUGAAAGGCGGGGGCCCAACCCCCGGACUGCUCUGGAGACUAUGUUACUAGAGUGCAGGAGAGGUAAGCGGAAUUCCUAGUGUAGCGGUGAAAUGCGUAGAUAUUAGGAGGAACACCAGUGGCGAAGGCGGCUUACUGGACUGUAACUGACGUUGAGGCUCGAAAGCGUGGGGAGCAAACAGG
rnacentral:rRNA from 1 species